rnacentral:rRNA from 1 species
AUGAGUAACACAUCCAUCCCAAUCAUGAACUGGAAUGUCCGCGGCCUAAAUUCACCGGCGAAGAGGACCAUCAUCUGCGAGGUGGCUGAUGCCCACAGCCUAGCUCUGUUGUGCAUGCAGGAGACGAAGAUCGACGUCUGGUCACCACAGAUUGUCAGGGAGAUUGGAGGCCGUAGACUAGACAAAUGCGUCGUUCUGCUGGCGCUGGGCACCCGCGGCGGCGCUGCAAUCUUUUGGGACUCCACCAAGAUUACGAUCAGCACCCAGUCAGCUGGGCAAUUUUCCAUCACAGCCAGGGCAUUCCUCCCUCAUGGCGGCCCCUCCUUCUGGAUUACUACGGUGUAUGGCCCGACUGACGGCACAAGAAAUGAUGAAUUCCUCGAUGAGCUGAGCAGAAGCAGGCCACCCCUUGGCGAGCCGUGGCUGAUAAACGGCGAUUUCAACGUCAUCUACGACGCAAGAGACAAGAGCAACCACAACAUCAACAGAAGGAUGAUGGGCAGAUUCAGGGAUGCAAUCGAUCGGGCUUGCCUGCGAGAGAUAAAAUGCAAAAACAGGCGCUACACCUGGAGCAACGAGAGGGAGAACCCAACCUUUGUCGCCAUCAACAAAGUGUUCUGCAACCAAGAAUGGGAAGCGCUCUUCCCCUCCUACAUCCUUAUGGAUGCAUCCACAUCAUGCUCUGAUCACUGCCCCUUGCUGCUCACGGCCGCCGCCGUGCCGCCGCGCAAAGCAGUCUUCAGAUUCGAAUCCUUCUGGCCAAAGUUCCCCCACUUCCACCAGACGGUCCAGAGAGCGUGGCAGAGGCCAGUGAACCACUCCUACCCAUUCACUAGGAUGAAGAUCAAGCUAAAAAAGCAGCGGCAGACAUGA